rnacentral:rRNA from 1 species
GUCCACGCCGUAAACGAUGAGUGCUAGGUGCUGUGGGUAUUGACCCCCGCGGUGCCGCAGCUAACGCGUUAAGCACUCCGCCUGGGGAGUACGGCCGCAAGGCUAAAACUCAAAGGAAUUGACGGGGGCCCCGCACAAGCGGUGGAGCAUGUGGUUCAAUUCGACGCAACGCGCAGAACCUUACCUGGGUUAAAUCCACUCGAACUUACCAGAGAUGGUUUGGUGCUCUUCGGAGAGCGAGUGAGAAGGUGCUGCAUGGCUGUCGU